AAACAACCGGGAUUGCUUAGUAACGGCGAGUGAAGCGGCAAAAGCUCAAAUUUGAAAUCUGGUACCUUCGGUGCCCGAGUUGUAAUUUGGAGAGGGCAACUUUGGGGCCGUUCCUUGUCUAUGUUCCUUGGAACAGGACGUCAUAGAGGGUGAGAAUCCCGUGUGGCGAGGAGUGCGGUUCUUUGUAAAGUGCCUUCGAAGAGUCGAGUUGUUUGGGAAUGCAGCUCUAAGUGGGUGGUAAAUUCCAUCUAAAGCUAAAUAUUGGCGAGAGACCGAUAGCGAACAAGUACAGUGAUGGAAAGAUGAAAAGAACUUUGAAAAGAGAGUGAAAAAGUACGUGAAAUUGUUGAAAGGGAAGGGCAUUUGAUCAGACAUGGUGUUUUGUGCCCUCUGCUCCUUGUGGGUAGGGGAAUCUCGCAUUUCACUGGGCCAGCAUCAGUUUUGGUGGCAGGAUAAAUCCAUAGGAAUGUAGCUUGCCUCGGUAAGUAUUAUAGCCUGUGGGAAUACUGCCAGCUGGGACUGAGGACUGCGACGUAAGUCAAGGAUGCUGGCAUAA
rnacentral:rRNA from 1 species